rnacentral:rRNA from 1 species
AUUGAACGCUGGCGGCAGGCCUAACACAUGCAAGUCGAGCGAGCGGCGGACGGGUGAGUAAUGUCUGGGGAUCUGCCCGAUAGCGGGGGAUAACUACUGGAAACGGUGGCUAAUACCGCAUACUAUCGGAUGAACCCAUAUGGGAUUGGCUAGUAGGUGGGGUAAAGGCUAACCUAGGCGACGAUCUCUAGCCGGUCUGAGAGGAUGACCAGCCACACUGUGACGGGGACACGGCCCAGACUCCUCCGGGAGGCAGCAGUGGGGAAUAUUGCACAAUGGGCGCAAGCCUGGUGCAGCCAUGCCGCGUGUAUGAAGAAGGCCUUAGGGUUGUAAAGUACUUUCAGCGGGGAGGCGUUACCCGCAGAAGAAGCACCGGCUAACUCCGUGCCAGCAGCCGCGGUAAUAC